rnacentral:rRNA from 1 species
AUUGAACGCUGGCGGCAGGCCUAACACAUGCAAGUCGAGCGGAUGAAGGGAGCUUGCUCCUGGAUUCAGCGGCGGACGGGUGAGUAAUGCCUAGGAAUCUGCCUGGUAGUGGGGGAUAACGUCCGGAAACGGGCGCUAAUACCGCAUACGUCCUGAGGGAGAAAGUGGGGGAUCUUCGGACCUCACGCUAUCAGAUGAGCCUAGGUCGGAUUAGCUAGUUGGUGGGGUAAAGGCCUACCAAGGCGACGAUCCGUAACUGGCCUGAGAGGAUGAUCAGUCACACUGGAACUGAGACACGGUCCAGACUCCUUCGGGAGGCAGCAGUGGGGAAUAUUGGACAAUGGGCGAAAGCCUGAUCCAGCCAUGCCGCGUGUGUGAAGAAGGUCUUCGGAUUGUAAAGCACUUUAAGUUGGGAGGAAGGGCAGUAAGUUAAUACCUUGCUGUUUUGACGUUACCAACAGAAUAAGCACCGGCUAACUUCGUG